UACGUAGGUGGCAAGCGUUGUCCGGAUUUACUGGGCGUAAAGAGCGCGCAGGCGGUCGUUCAAGUCGCGUGUGAAAGCCCCCCGGCUCAACUGGGGAGGGUCACGCGAUACUGAUCGACUCGAAGGCAGGAGAGGGAAGUGGAAUUCCCGGUGUAGUGGUGAAAUGCGUAGAUAUCGGGAGGAACACCAGUGGCGAAGGCGACUUCCUGGCCUGUUCUUGACGCUGAGGCGCGAAAGCUAGGGGAGCAAACGGGG
rnacentral:rRNA from 1 species